GUGUCAGCAGCCGCGGUAAUACAGAGGUCUCAAGCGUUGUUCGGAAUUAUUGGGCGUAAAGGGUGCGUAGGCGGUUCGGUCAGUUGGGUGUGAAAAGUCGAGGCUCAACCUCGAAAUUGCACCCAAUACUACCGGGCUAGAGUACUGCAUAGGAAGCUGGAACUUACGGUGUAGCAGUGAAAUGCGUAGAUAUCGUAAAGAAGACCAGAGGCGAAAGCGAGCUUCUAGGCAGUUACUGACGCUCAUGCACGAAAGCCAAGGUAGCAAACGGGAUUAGAAACCCCUGUAGUCC
rnacentral:rRNA from 1 species